UACAGAGGUGGCAAGCGUUGUUCGGAAUUACUGGGCGUAAAGGGCGCGUAGGCGGCCUUCUAAGUCAGACGUGAAAUCCCCCGGCUUAACCUGGGAACUGCGUCUGAUACUGGGAGGCUUGAGUAUGGGAGAGGGAUGUAGAAUUCCAGGUGUAGCGGUGAAAUGCGUAGAUAUCUGGAGGAACACCGGUGGCGAAGGCGGCAUCCUGGACCAAUUCUGACACUGAGGAGCGAAAGCCAGGGGAGCAAACGGG
rnacentral:rRNA from 1 species